rnacentral:rRNA from 1 species
GACGAACCGUCCAAACGUUAUUCGGAAUCACUGGGCUUAAAGGGCGCGUAGGCGGCCGAGCGGGUCACGGGUGAAAUCCUCCAGCUUAACUGGAGAACUGCCCUUGAUACCACUGCGGCUCGAGGAAGGAAGGGGCAAUCGGAACUGUCGGUGGAGCGGUGAAAUGCGUUGAUAUCGACAGGAACGCCGGUGGCGAAAGCGGAUUGCUGGUCCUUUUCUGACGCUGAUGCGCGAAAGCCAGGGGAGCAAACGGG